UACAGAGGUCCCGAGCGUUGUUCGGAUUCACUGGGCGUAAAGGGUGCGUAGGUGGCGGGGAAAGUCGGAUGUGAAAUCUCGGAGCUUAACUCCGAAACUGCAUUCGAUACUGCCGUGCUUGAGGACUGGAGAGGAGACUGGAAUUUACGGUGUAGCGGUGAAAUGCGUAGAUAUCGUAAGGAAGACCAGUGGCGAAGGCGGGUCUCUGGACAGUUCCUGACGCUGAGGCACGAAGGCCAGGGGAGCAAACGGG
rnacentral:rRNA from 1 species